CCUGGCUUUAGAAGAAGUACAAAUAAGCUUGAUCAUGCAGGCAUGAGUGGAACUGUGACACACAGUGGAUGUCACUGCAAGCACACUGCCUCCUAAACUGUCCUUCAAGUACAGACCCUUGUUCUCUGUGAAUGGCUGCAGUUACUGGCAGCUCAUAACAUUGGGAAAAGCUCUGAAUUGGGAUGACAUAGUCUAUGAACCAUGUUUGAAUCUGAAAACUACGCUUGAUUUCUGUAAGCACAGAUACAACAUCAGUACAUCUCCAUGCUGGUUUGAUCUGAUAAAAAUCAAAGCAGCUUAAAACGAGAGUUUGCACAAGUGUCUCACCUUGGCUUUAAGUAUUCACAAGACUUCAGCUCUUGAUUUUUAUCAUUACUGGAAAGUGAGAAUACCUUCGUGCCACCAACCUUCUUUUUUAAAAUAAUGGGAAAG
rnacentral:lncRNA from 14 species